rnacentral:misc_RNA from 1 species
CCGAGUUUACAACUCCCAAACCCAAUGUGAACGUUACCAAACUGUUGCCUCGGCGGGGUCACGCCCCGGGUGCGUAAAAGCCCCGGAACCAGGCGCCCCCGCCGGAGGAACCAACCAAACUCUUUCUGUAGUCCCCUCGCGGACGUAUUUCUUACAGCUCUGAGCAAAAAUUCAAAAUGAAUCA